GAAGCCAUGGGAUAUUGCUGCUCCUGAGGAACCCCCUGAGGUCCCUAGUAACUGAUGGAUCUCUGGAACAUCGGAGGAUCUGGUUCUCUAUGGCUGAAGCAGAAGAUCAACAGAUCUGAGCUGAUGGCAAAGUCUUCACUGGAUCCUUUGGUGGAAUACAGGAAUCAGAUAUCAGGGACCAUCAAUGGGCUGGUGAAGUAAUGGUUCCUUUUGGAUCCUUGAAUCAUUGUUACACGUGGCACAGGGAAUACAGUUGUGUAUUCAGGAUUCCACCUCCUUGACCAUUGAAGGCCACCAUCCUAGGGGGCUGCUAACAGGGAGUUUUGAGAAGGAGUUCUCCAGGUGAAGGAGGAGCAAAUACAGGACCCUUGGGAUGGAGGUCACCGGUAACUGAUGGACCCUCUCGGAAUCUCUGGAACAUUGGAGGAUCUGGUUCUCUAUGGCCAAAGCAGGAGAUCAACAGAUCUGAGCUGAUGGCAAAGUCUUCACUGGAUCCUUUGGUGGAAUACAGGAAUAUCAGCAGUUGAGCAAUGGUUUUCAGAGGACUUGGCGGUUCUGGACACUGACAGCUCCGAAGGGAAAAGCAGAUUGGGCCCUAUCUGUUUUUGUCCAUACCCAAAACCAGAUGCUCAACAGAAUGCCGAAACAGAGGGGGAUGCUUAUUCUAUAGGCCUAUACUAUCUAAAGUUGAGGGAGAAAUUUGGUAUUAAACCUGUGUGAGUUCAUAACCAUAAAGCGGUGAUGCAAGCAAUUGUGCGAGCGGCUGUGCACGGAAUCAUCGAGCACUGCCUCAGAGAGAAACAAAAUGAGGAUUGUCCUGGGUGCACCAUAGAUGCCCCCGGUCAGAGGCAUCACAAAUGCACGUACUGGUCUUUAGAUGCUGUGAAGUGUAAAAUUAAAGAAAUUAGUAGGUAGUUUGUAUAUGGAGCGUGUGUUAAAUAAAAUGAUCAUGUUGGGAUACGAACUGCAGUGCCUCCGGAACAUUUAGCUCUAGGGGCAGAAUUAGUGGACAAAUUGACAGAGGGCGAGGACCCAAAUAGCGUUUUGGAUUAAAUCAUCAAACCGACAGAUAAAUGUUUAAUGCUAAAUG